CCUGGCGUCACUUCCUUGAGCACCGCUUCCACUUCAGCGUCAGACACCUCCGAUCUUCCUACAUGAUACGCAUCCUCCUCCGGAAUGACAAGGUGGCGGUUCCGCAGCGCCUCUAUAACAGCCAUCCUAGCCUCUUCAGUCACAUGAGUUGGGGAGGAACAAAUCUCUCCCCAAAAAUCCGCAACCAUCUGUGGCAACUUUAUCGUGUCUGUAAUAAGACGACCCGUUCUAUCUUGCAACGCUGGAAUAACUUGUAGAGUCUUAGACGGAUGCACAAGGGCAGUUAGCCCUCUACUAGGUCGUUCACCCUCACGAAUCCACUGUAAUCUAACCCGUUCCGCCUCCUGUGCACCUUCAGCUCUAGCCGCUUGUACAACCGCUACUUGGGCGUCAAUUGCCGCUUGGAUCCUCUGUGUACUCAUAUGUUCGGUCUGCACCUCUUCUAGUGCCCGUGUUGCAUUUUCUAUUGCCAAACGUACUUGCCCCCCCGGGGGAAACGACGUUCUCGCGCUUGCCGAUUAAGACAGUUAUUUCAUUGANNNNNNNNNNNNNNNNNNNNNNNNNNNNNNNNNNNNNNNNNNNNNNNNNNUCACCCAAGGCGGACGCACUAAGACUGGUUGGAGUAAUGCUCCCACAUAACGCACUGCCCAGCAUGCCCAUCGCGCUUGCACAUGUUGUCGUACUGCUAAUGCCCCAAAACCGCCCAAAGUUGGAUGGCCAUAUAACAAAUAUUUAGCAACCCCGGUGAGUCGUCUUUCUUGUGCGACCGGUCCGAGGUUCCUAUCAAUAAGCUUGGCCGCUUUAGCCUCAAUAUUCAUGAGUUUAGCUUCUGGGGGAAACCCCCCUUGUUCCAUAUGCCAUGUAACACGAUGCAGCCCAUAUGCAGCCGCUGCAUGUGCACGCCCAAAAAUGGAAAGAUUUAACACAGAAAUGCGUCGAAACCGAGCCCAGACUUUGUCUAGUUGCACAUCCCAGUCCCUGACUGUGGUUUCUCCCACAUCCGUAAAAGGUAGAUUGAGAGCCGUAGCCAUAUGUACGACCUUCAUGUCAUGAUUUAUUGUUGAUGUUGUUACAGGGUGGUUAAGCUUCACCAGUGGCCUCCUUCCCGAGGCAAUUCCCUGCUCUCCCCUGCUAGAGGGGCACCCUAAGCCAUUCACCCCAUCCGACUUCAAAGUGUACUCUUUGAGUUUGGCAACUCACCACCAGCAUCCAACCAAGUCUAGCGGAUCAACGGCGCGUCAUGUUAGUUCCUGGUCAGCUCGCGAGUUGAUUUUAUCACGUCCUACACCGUCCACAAGAUGGGGGGCCACCUCCCAUUUCAUCACCUCUCCAACACCCCAAGAGGUCGGCAGGCGGAUUUGAACCCGGACGCGUCGGGACGCGAUGGGAGCAGAAGCCAGGCCUUAACUUCUGCCAGCCGCCUGCCUUAUUGUUAUAUGCUGUGGGUGGGUACCGAGAGGUAACAGCUCAACCUUAUCCAGGUUAAGUUGCUGUCCAGAAGCCUGUGCGUACACCCUCAUACAGUCAAGGAAAGCCGGAAUUGCUUGGAUUCCUUCUAAAACAACUUCCGUAUCGUCAGCAAAUUGCACACCUGUAACCAAUUCUGAAUUAUUUUGGGGUAAAUGAAUCCCCACUCGGUUGUAUUGUAACCAACAUAGUAACGCCUGCGCGGCAAACAAGUAUAGCAACGGUGCCAACGGACAUCCCUGUCGCACACCCGCUGUAAGAGCAACUUCACGGGAAACAAAACCAUUUACUACCGCUUUCGACGCUGUAUCGGAUAAAAGAAGUUUAGUCCAACUAAUUAACCCUGCUCCUGCGCCCAUAGCAUCCAUUGCUUCAAAUAAAAAAUUACGAUCCAAGGAAUCGUAAGCUUUAGCAAUAUCCAAAAAAUCCAGGAGACACGACUGUCCUGUCGUCGACAUAAGUUGCGGUAGAUGCCGCAGGAAAGAACAUUUGCACCUAUCAAGCGCUCCGGCAGAAAAGCAGACUGCUCGAGCGUGAUAAUUCGCCCUAGUAUUGGACUCAGCCUACGGGUUAAAAUUUUGGUGAGAAUCCUGUAAUCUGUAUUCAACAAGGUAAUCGGUCGAUAACUACCCGGGGAGGUGGGAGACCCCCGAUUUUUAUAAAUAACCGUGAUAGCACCUUGCAAGAAGCCAUCUGGGUGCAUUUGGGUUUGGCCCAUGGCUGUAUACAGUUGAGCAAGAACUGGUGCAAUCUCGUUCCGACACACCUUGUAUAAUUCAAUUGGGAUGCCAUCUAGACCGGGCGCUUUGCCUGGCGUCACUUCCUUGAGCACCGCUUCCACUUCAGCGUCAGACACCUCCGAUCUUCCUACAUGAUACGCAUCCUCCUCCGGAAUGACAAGGUGGCGGUUCCGCAGCGCCUCUAUAACAGCCAUCCUAGCCUCUUCAGUCACAUGAGUUGGGGAGGAACAAAUCUCUCCCCAAAAAUCCGCAACCAUCUGUGGCAACUUUAUCGUGUCUGUAAUAAGACGACCCGUUCUAUCUUGCAACGCUGGAAUAACUUGUAGAGUCUUAGACGGAUGCACAAGGGCAGUUAGCCCUCUACUAGGUCGUUCACCCUCACGAAUCCACUGUAAUCUAACCCGUUCCGCCUCCUGUGCACCUUCAGCUCUAGCCGCUUGUACAACCGCUACUUGGGCGUCAAUUGCCGCUUGGAUCCUCUGUGUACUCAUAUGUUCGGUCUGCACCUCUUCUAGUGCCCGUGUUGCAUUUUCUAUUGCCAAACGUACUUGCCCCCCCGGGGGAAAACGACGUUCUCGCGCUUGCCGAUUAAGAACAGUUACUUCAUUGAACAUUCGAUGUUUAAACAACGGCCACCAUUGUAGCAUAGCUACUGUGUCUGUCUCAGCGGGUCUCUGCGCACACUCAUCACCAAUCCAUUGCAAGAAGCUUCCCUUCAAGUCAGGGAAAUCUAAGAAAUGCGUAUGUAGCCGUGGAAGGCCUGGACCACGCGUUCUCACAAGACGAGGUAAAAGAGCAAUAAUAGCUAAACGGUGGUCUGUCGAAGUGCAUACUGGAAUGGUAGAGGAAGCGAUGAAGGGGGUGAGGUUUGUGGAAGUAUAGAUUCGAUCAAGACGUGACCCUCCCGACACACCUGUUUUAUAGAAAAACGAAAGGUCGCGACGGGUAGGGUGGAGGUAGCGAUAUGUGUCUACCAUAUCCGGGCAGCAUUCGGAGAAAGCCUUAGCUAAGGACAAGUCCGCGGGUCUACUCCCUUCUCCUGUG
rnacentral:lncRNA from 1 species